UACGUAGGGUGCAAGCGUUGUCCGGAAUUAUUGGGCGUAAAGAGCUCGUAGGCGGUCUGUCGCGUCGGAUGUGAAAAUCCAGGGCUCAACCCUGGACCUGCAUUCGAUACGGGCAGACUAGAGUUCGGUAGGGGAGACUGGAAUUCCUGGUGUAGCGGUGAAAUGCGCAGAUAUCAGGAGGAACACCAGUGGCGAAGGCGGCAAUCUGGACAGAUAUUGACGCUGAUGUACGAAAGCGUGGGGAGCAAACAGG
rnacentral:rRNA from 1 species